GCUGAAAGAAACCUUAGAGGCCAUCAUCUUACAGCAAAAUGAGGAUACAAGAAACAUUUAGGUAAAAGGAGUGAAUGGAGUAGAUUACAGUGAAUUUUGCUGAAUAGAAACAGGGAGAGGAAGUUGGGAAAAGAACAGACCUUGGAGGGGAAAUUGCCUCUGUUUUUGAACAGGCUUCAGCAACCCCAAAACAGCAUCAUGAUCAAAAACAGAGAUUUUACUGCAGUCUCAGAGAGAAGCCUUUAUCCAGCUGUCCUCAUGCUGGAACGGUAGGACAGACAGAAUGCUGAUGGAUCCUCAUCCCAUCCUUCAUCACCCUCCUCCCUUACUAUCACACUGCUCAGUUGGGAGAAAAUGAAAAAAUCUACCAAGGAUGGUCAUGUACACAGAAAUCUGUAAUGUGGCCUUGUCACUGUCUCAGGCUGAUUCAUCUCAUUUCAUCUCAGCAUUCUCCAUCACAGUCAUUUCAGUUUACUCUUAACUGGUCUUUAUAUAGGCUAAGAUUGUGUGAAUCACUACAUUCAUAUCUUUCCUGGUCCAACCAAUUUGAAGUAAAAUCUUACU